CUGUCCAGGUGGUACUAGGUGGUGGUCAGGAUGCAUCAGCUGUCACCACAACUGAUCAUCGUGCUGGGAAAUUCGAAGCCAAAUUCUAUGACGAGGUUCUUCAGGAAGAGAUUGGAGGUGUUAAAGGGCAUUUUGGACCUAUAAAUGCUUUGGCUUUCAAUCCUGAUGGAAAGAGUUUCUCAAGUGGAGGUGAGGAUGGUUACGUACGUCUACAUCACUUUGACUCAGAUUACUUCAACAUCAAGAUUUAGGUUGCAGCAUACUUUGAUAUCAAUUCUCACUUUGGAGCGUGCUGGAAAAGCUAUUUCGCCCUUUCCCAAACCAUCUGUUUCCAGCAAUUUUUUUUGUAGUUCUGGUAUUGGGAUUAAACAACCAUGUUCUGUAUUUGUUCAAGAAGUACUGUGUUACAUUCUUUCAUUUUCUGUUGUUAGAGCAUUUCCACUCAUUGGCCAUGGCAAAAGGCAAGGAGAGGUAAGGGUUGGUACUAUUCAUAUGAGUAUUGCUUGCUCUAGAAAUUUUUUGUUGGUUUUUCACCCUUUGCCAUGGCAAC